rnacentral:ncRNA from 1 species
GAAAGCUGCAUACGGGAAAUCCGUUCGUGCAGUUUGAUGAGGAGAGGGAGGUUGAAAGACCUCUCUUUUACUCUAC